GUGAACGCUGGCGGUAGGCCCAACACAUGCAAGUCGAACGGCAGCACAGUAAGAGCUUGCUCUUACGGGUGGCGAGUGGCGGACGGGUGAGGAAUACAUCGGAAUCUACUUUUUCGUGGGGGAUAACGUAGGGAAACUUACGCUAAUACCGCAUACGACCUACGGGUGAAAGCAGGGGAUCUUCGGACCUUGCGCGAUUGAAUGAGCCGAUGUCGGAUUAGCUAGUUGGCGGGGUAAAGGCCCACCAAGGCGACGAUCCGUAGCUGGUCUGAGAGGAUGAUCAGCCACACUGGAACUGAGACACGGUCCAGACUCCUACGGGAGGCAGCAGUGGGGAAUAUUGGACAAUGGGCGCAAGCCUGAUCCAGCCAUACCGCGUGGGUGAAGAAGGCCUUCGGGUUGUAAAGCCCUUUUGUUGGGAAAGAAAAGCAGCAGGUUAAUACCCCGCUGUUCUGACGGUACCCAAAGAAUAAGCACCGGCUAACUUCGUG
rnacentral:rRNA from 1 species